UCCUGCUCCACCUGCUGCUGAUCACAUUACACCACCCAACGCCCCGACGGCUGCACCAAUCUCAAAGGAGGAUAAGACACCUCAACAAAAGUCUUUAGAUCUAGCAGAGGGGCAACCCGAACCUGAGGUCACACCUGGGGAGCCAAUCAGAAUGGAGGGCGUGUUGGAGAUUAAGCUGAAACAAGGAGGAAACAAGGGUCUGGAGCACUGGGAGGAGGUCUUUGCUGU